rnacentral:rRNA from 1 species
UACGGAGGGUGCAAGCGUUGUCCGGAAUUAUUGGGCGUAAAGAGCUCGUAGGCGGUCUGUCACGUCGGCUGUGAAAACCCGAGGCUCAACCUCGGGCCUGCAGUCGAUACGGGCAAACUAGAGUGUUGCAGGGGAGACUGGAAUUCCUGGUGUAGCGGUGAAAUGCGCAGAUAUCAGGAGGAACACCGGUGGCGAAGGCGGGUCUCUGGGCAACAACUGACGCUGAGGAGCGAAAGCGUGGGGAGCGAACAGG